rnacentral:rRNA from 1 species
GACGAACGCUGGCGGUGUGCCUAAUACAUGCAAGUAGAACGGUGACGAGAGGAGCUUGCUCUCCUUGGAUGAGUUGCUAACGGGCGAGUAAGGAGUAGGUCAGAUGCUUUGUAGUGGGGGAUGACUAUUGGGAAAGAUUGCUACUAAUACAUAAUAAUAGCUGAGACAUGACACAUAUUUGAAAGGGGCAAUUGCCCAACUACUGGAUCGACCUGGGUUGUAUUAGCUAGUUGGUGGGGUAAUGGCCCACCAAGGCGACGAUCGGUAGCCGGACUGAGAGGAUGAUCAGCAAAACUGGAACUGGGACACGGUCCAGACUCCUACGGGAGGAAGCAGUGGGGAAUAUUGGACAAUGGGCGCAAGCCUGACCCAGCAAUCCCGCGUGGGUGAAGAAGGCUUUCGGGUUGUAAACUCCUUUUGUUGGGAAAGAAAAGCAGCAGGUUAAUAACCCGCUGUUCUGACGGUACCUAACGAAUAAGCACCGGCUAACUUCGUG